rnacentral:lncRNA from 1 species
AACACAGGCCCCCGGCGGCUGGAGUCGGCUCAUGGGUUGCUGGGGGGCAGCUGGUGCCAGCCCUGCUAGACAUGUCCAGGGUCGGGGCAGAGGCCAGGGUGGCUCUCAUCCACAACGAGGCUCCAGGAAGAGGCUCCAGAGGGCCCAGGUCCCUGGAGGAAGACAGAGGGUGGAUUAUCCAGUGAGUCCUCAGAUUGCUCCAGGGAGACUCUACCCCUAGGCCCUCAUCCUACCUAGGACUGAGGCAGCCAUCUGGGUCUCUGCUUCCCUAACCACUUCCUCCUCCACCCGACCAUCACCUAGUCUCAAGGACUUGGGCAGCUUCUGGAAGUGGCUGAGACUGGAAGAAUGUUGUCACACCUACCAGAUAUCCCUACGUGUAUCUCUACCACCCCCACUACAUAUUCUGAAGAACCAAGGUGCAACAGGAACCUGGAGCCUCAAGAGCCGAGGUGCUCAGGAGGGGCAGCAUGACUCCAGGGCUCGGAAGGAGCCCCUCAGAUAUUUAUCAACAAUGAAUGGCACGAAUCCAAGAGUGGGAAAAAGUUUGCUACAUGUAACCCU